rnacentral:rRNA from 1 species
GAGUUUGAUCGUGGCUCAGGAUGAACGCUGGCGGCGUGCCUAAUACAUGCAAGUCGAGCGAACGGACGAGAAGCUUGCUUCUCUGAUGUUAGCGGCGGACGGGUGAGUAACACGUGGAUAACCUACCUAUAAGACUGGGAUAACUUCGGGAAACCGGAGCUAAUACCGGAUAAUAUUUUGAACCGCAUGGUCCAAAAGUGAAAGACGGUCUUGCUGUCACUUAUAGAUGGAUCCGCGCUGCAUUAGCUAGUUGGUAAGGUAACGGCUUACCAAGGCAACGAUGCAUAGCCGACCUGAGAGGGUGAUCGGCCACACUGGAACUGAGACACGGUCCAGACUCCUACGGGAGGCAGCAGUAGGGAAUCUUACCGCAAUGGGCGAAAAGCCUGACGGAGCAACGCCGCGUGAGUGAUGAAGGUCUUCGGAUCGUAAAACUCUGUUAUUAGGGAAGACAUAUGUGUAAGUAACUGUGCACAUCUUGACGGUACCUAA